rnacentral:lncRNA from 1 species
AAUAGCUAGAAGAUUAAGUGUAUGUGCAAUCAAACUAUAGUAGCCUCACUACAAAUAGUCGAGGCACCAUGGAUCAAAAGAUCAUUCAUACCACUACAGCAUCGAGCAAACUACUAUUGAGUGAGUAGACAUCCAAGUGGUUUCACAUAUUGGUCACACUCAGUGCAAGUUAUUCUCUAACAAUCACCUGCACUCUUGCCUCAGUG